AUUCUGCCAGGAAUCCAGCUGACCGAAUUACCCACACUUGCCCACCUUAGGCCUUCAUUCGCAGCAGGCAUGUGUGCCUGGGUUUGUUACCAGCAGCCAUUUUCUCACCCUUAAAUGAGGGAUGGGUCUCCCCUUUUCUUUUUCUCAUUUUCCUAGAGGUUACAAGAUUCCUGUUUUUCUCACCAGGAGGAGAGGUCAGCCUCAGUGAGCUCAUAGCAGUCAUACAUUGCCAGUGUUUUUCCUCAAGUGGAAGGAGAAAGGCCUUCAGAAAAAAAAUCGUAUGCAAACCUAGUGCUACCACCAGCAGUAGCUCUGAAUCGAGAUUUUUGGGAGAAUUAGGCUUACUAAAGAUAAACUACAAUAAGUCUCAAGGAAGCAAAUAAUUCUGAUUCUAAUGAGGAAUCCAAGAAUAAAGGCAGCUCUUAAGGUACGGAAGUGAACUGUCUGUGGGUGACUUGCCUGGAUGCCGGCUAUAGCUGCAGCCCCCAAAGUCGAAGCUACCAGAACAGGUUGGAUGAGGAUGGCCCAAAGAUUAUGGAGUUGCUGGCCCCAAAGCAAGUCAGACACUAUGGGAAGUUUGCAUGAAUCAUGCCCUUGGAUAGACAACCUAAAUCAUACCUCAUCGAGCAUGGAUCCUGGUCAGCAUACCAAGUCAAGGCAAGUAAAGACUGAAGAAAUAUCACCUGGUCUGCAGCUCCCCCCAGAACGAAGUCUGCUACUGAUGGCAGAAGCAUAGAUAGACCAAGGGUAUCACUAUGUAAUGAUGGAAGAAGGAAAAACCCCAUGCAUUCACUCAUGUCUUGAAUCACCUAGAGAAGAGAGGGAAUCUGCCAAAGUGGACACAAUAGAAAUUCAGUUCUAAAUUUGGAGGAAAUGAGGCCCACUCUCAGAUAAGAUGAAAAGUAAAAGCCCUAGGAUCCAAUGGGGUAUUAAACAAAUAUUUAAAAGUAAAAAAAAAAAAAAA
rnacentral:lncRNA from 1 species